rnacentral:rRNA from 1 species
UACGGGGGGGGCAAGCGUUGUUCGGAAUUACUGGGCGGAAAGGGCUCGUAGGCGGCCAACUAAGUCAGACGUGAAAUCCCUCGGCUUAACCGGGGAACUGCGUCUGAUACUGGAUGGCUUGAGGUUGGGAGAGGGACGCGGAAUUCCAGGUGUAGCGGUGAAAUGCGUAGAUAUCUGGAGGAACACCGGUGGCGAAGGCGGCAUCCUGGACCAAUUCUGACGCUGAGGAGCGAAAGCCAGGGGAGCAAACGGG